rnacentral:misc_RNA from 1 species
GCGCUACAAACCGUUCCGGAUGGUUCAUAUCGCGGCGCGCUGCCACCGCGGCAACACGUUUUCGCGAGUGCUCCCGGAGAGGUCUUGUGCCGCACGACAGCUGUUGUCUGCCGCUUUUUCUCGAUCUUCGAUUCCGUAGUUUUCUAAGAAAAGUCGGUGGAUACACGAUACCGAUGAAGGCUGGUCGUCUGUAACUUGUAGAACAAUCAAAUCUCGGAUUCAUAUGUUCUGGACGUGGCGCGAAACACACUGGCAUCGGGGUUUGUGAGUGAGAGAGAGACGAGCUCUCGAACGGGGAAAAGCUGGCGAGGCAGAUCGUGACGAGGGGGAAGAUUUCGGAGCUACUGGAAUUGUUGGUGCUGCGCUGGGCCAGAAUGUCGUUCUUCAGGGGUUUGUGGAAGAGCAGCUCGAAGCACAAGAAGCUAUGCGAGGAAUGGGCGCUGGCGAAUAGCCGCGAGUGCGUGGAGGGCGGCGGUUCAACGAGCACGACGCACGGAGAGGAAUCCGAGGAUGCGUCUGAGGCGAGGUUCACCCUCAAAUAUUUGGGCAGCACUCUCGUCGAAACGCCUUCAAGCGAGGAAGCCACAGCGGAAGCCAUCAAAACCGUCAUUACUAUGGCAAAAGCGAGCGGGAAAAAAUUGCAAAGGGUCUCUUUAGCUGUGAGCUUAAAAGGAAUUAGAAUGACGGACUUGGCCACCGAAGAAGAUCAACUUCAGGUAUCGAUAUACAGGAUUUCAUAUUGCUCGGCGGACGCGACGCACGAUCAUGUGUUCGCGUUCAUCGCGACGAAUCUCAACGAGACGAUGGAGUGCCAUGCAUUUCUCUGCCCGAAAAGAAAAAUGGCGCAGACAGUGACGCUGACUGUCGCGCAGGCCUUCAACACGGCUUAUCAGGCGUGGCAGUUGUCGCAGUCCGAUCCUAGGAUCCAUCACCCUCAGGAUAAGAGCCCUCCCUCGACGGAUGACAGGACCGAUAACAAUGAGAAGAAGAACUCCAGCGAGACAAAGACUACUACUGGCAAGAUUAAUGAGCAAAAUAAGCAGAACGGUCAACAGCGGCGUAACGACAGUCAGAAAAAUCUUUUAAUUGAUUUAUCAAACGAUCCCAAACCAGCGGGAAAUUCAUGGGUAUGCUUCGAGGAGGAUUCAGACGUGAAGAAGAGUCAGAAGAAAAGCGCGGUAAGCAAUAACAGUAUUCCUAUGACAACACUUAGGCACACGUCGUCCACCCCGGCUCAUCACGUGGUGCCUCGACCGAGCGCCGGCUUCAAGGUGCAAAACGCCUGGGGCGAAUCCAGGUCGGUCGAUCUGAUGUGUUCGUAGCAGGCAGGGUAGCCGGCGGCCGAUAGCUUCAGAGACGUGCCAUUGAUCACUGGCCUCUGGAGACACCUCUCGGACAACGGCCAAUCAAAAAAGACCAACGGCAAUCAUUAGAAUCUUCGUCGAACUGUCCCAGCUUUCGUACCUUCCGAUUGGAAGUUUAAAAUCCGAAAAGGCGACGAUCUUUAUCUUUUUAUCGAACCUGAGGGGAGACAGUGGUGAAUGCCGAAGCAGCGGUAUUUAUUUUUGUGUGAUCUUGCUCAGACUACAUUAAAUCCGAUAUGAGAUUUCUUGUAUCUGCUGGAAGAAUAAGAUUGCGGGUGAUUCCAACAUACGAUGACGAUGACGAUGAAUUUCUUUUUGAAGAAAGAGGACCAACCCGCAGUACAGAGAUCGCGGUAACCCGGGCGGGAUCAAUUUCUAAUGGAUUUUGUAUAAUGCGUACAAUAUACAUACAUAUACUUGUGCCAAUUACUUUACAUACAUAUCGCACAAAAAUUACUAAACGUGAGAACAAAGUCCAUGAAUGAAGAGCAAUUUUCAAUUCAAGAUUCAUCGGAGAAUUAAAAGUCUCGAUGUAGUGAUCCAGGUAGGUGCCUCUAAUAAACAAAGCAAAUUUUUAUAAAAUUAACUUCAUUAACGUCAUUUAUAAGUUUUACAUUUUUAAAAAUAAGUUAUAAUUAAUGAUUGAUUUUUUUCUGUCAAAACAAGAAAUUUAUGAAAAUUAUCAUGAAUACAUAAUUGCGAUAUAUAACGAAUAAUUUGAUAAGACUAUCUAGCCAAAUAUCUUGUCGAUAUUUUUAUGUUAUUGUACUUUAUUUGAUAUUUUGAUAGAAUAUGCGAUAAUUAUUGAGAAAAUACUCAAAUAUAUAGAUAGAAUUUAAAUUAAUAAAAAAAAGCCAUGUACUAUGUUGCAAUUUUUGCAAUAGGAAAUUAAUUUAAAAAGUUUUACGUGCAUCGUGAAUCACGUGCAUCAGUGCAAUUCGGUAACAAAAGACCGUCCAGAGGUUUACGGUUCCUAGAUGCACGGCAAAGCAUGGGAUAAGCGUUCUGUAAACAUCAAUAAUCAUGUACGAAUCACACCUUAUUGUUUACAGAGAGUCCUUUCAAUCGCCCUUUUAUAAAUUAAUUCCGAUUAAUUAUUGCAAGAAUUACAAAAUGGUGCAAAAUUUUUUUAUUUACUUUAAUCCACUUUACUUGUACACAAACAUUUUGUCAAUAAUUAUCACAUAUCCUGUAUAAUGUUAUUACAAAUAUUUUAUAAUUUUUUAACCGGAAUUAUAUCAAAUUAGUUUUCAUAUCAAAAUCUUCAAUUGUAAACUUAGGAAUUACAAUGAGCGUAUUUUUACUCACGGAAAUUGUAUUAUUUCAGUGAUCAAAAAUACGCGAACAUAUACCAAAUCUUGUGCUAAAAACGUAUCCCGUCCAAAUUGGAAAAUAUUGCUGCCAUAUUUUAAUCCCAUAUAUGAUUCGAAUGUUUUACACGAGUAUCUGUACAGUGCAAUGCGCGAAACUAAAUUACUUUAGAACAAUUUUCGAAUAAAUUCUGGUCACGUAAAAAUACGUAUUCCAGAGUUAAUACGUAUUUGUUAUUUUUAUUAAAAACGUACUAUGACAAAAGAUUAACGCGAAUAAAAUAAAGGGGAUUUGAGAAAAAUGCCAGGUUUCGUAGAUCGAUUCCCUAUUAUGGUGCUGGACAGGAAUGAUUCUUUACGAUCUUUACGCAAUUGUUGAUAGUCGAGCGUUUGAUUAAAUAGCUGGACUAUUUCUUGGUUGAAAUUCGUCGAAAUUUCUCGCAAAAACGACAUUCCUAAAUAAAAUAUCGAGGAGGCCAUGUUAUAAUUCAUGCGUUAUUAGAUGUAAUUUGCAAUUAGCUCAUAUAUGUUACUGGAAAUUUUAUAUUCCCCAGGGGAAUUUUUAUAUUCCGUUGGGAUCAAAUUUGCCAUAGGCUCGUUACGCCGAUUUCAUUGAUAAUCGGCGGUAAGCGGUUGCCAUCGAAAUAUUGCAAUAUUGUGUAUUUCAUAUUAAACAUUAAUGUGUUGAUGUACACGUCACGGAUAAGUGCGUGCGCGUAAUAGCUGAUAGAACGUAAUAAUGCUGCUAAUAAGGACCGUUAACAUGAUUUAGCGUUAACUAUAUUGAUAUUUAAUUUAUCGAUUGUUAAACCGUAAAUAUAUUGUAUUCUGGUUUUAGAUAUCGUAUCUGCGCGUAACUAUCGCAAUAACGUCAUAUCUUGAAUAGUGUUAAGGUUUUCAUUUCUGCGUGAUAACGAUUGUCGAUUCGGUUAUUUUUAUGAAGUAUGAUAUGGAGUAAAUUGCAGAAGGCUGCGUUCGAUUUCGAAGAAGAUAUAGCAGGUGUAAUACAUUAUAUGAUAACUUACUGUUUAUUAGUCAAUGUUAUAUUGUCGAGGAACAGCAUUUUUAGCAUUUUAUCGAAUCAAAUUAUAUCGAAUCUAAGAUAGUUAUUCUGGUGGCGAGUUUUCGUAGGUUUGUAGAAUUUAUCGCGAGACGAUGCAUGGCGCAGUCGAAAUGCUCUUUCGUACAUUAAUACCUUUUUAACCAAAUUCUCUAACAAGGGAAAAAUUUUUUUACAUAUAUUAUUUUCUUAAUAUAAAGAAAACUGAAUUUGUAGAUAUAUAAAUAAUGUGUGUUUAUUUUUACAUAAAAAUUUUUAUUAGUUAUUAUUAAUGAAAAAAGAAAUGCAAAGAAUUUGCAAUGUACAACAAAUUUUGUAAUAUAAAAAGUUAGAAGUUUGAAUUAGCAGUAUCACGAUAUGUUUAUGGUUAAAAAGGAAUUAAAAAGAAGUGUUUUUGACUGCGCUACUUUAUCACAUAUGAAUUAACAGCCAUGUAAAUUUUAGACACCUAACGUGUCAAAAAAUACAUGCGCUGAUAAAUAAUCAUCUCGAAGUGACGGUAAUUUUACAUAGCUGCGCAUUAAUCGCAUUUGUGCAUCGUAUUAUCACGGGAAUGUUAUAUACAUUUUUGCGCUAAAUGUUCGUAGUCCGUAAGAAAUACGAAAUCAAAUAUACGUAUGAAUAUCUGAAGUAUGCGUCUUCUAACGAGUUAUUAUUUCUUCAUAGAAAAAAAGAAACCCCCUUUUUGCGAUUUUUAAAACGAAUCUGAACGACUCAUUGUAUUUUGUAAUGAUUAAUUAAUCCUAUCAAUGCUAACUUUAUUUUACAUUCGACUAUAAUCACAAAAUAAACAGAGCAAAACUGUUCGUUCAAAAAAGGAUGAAGUGAUAUGAUAUGAAAGAGAAAGAAAAUUAUGCUUUAACAGAAAUUUAUUGUUUCAAUACAUCACGAGUGUAACUUGUGAAAAGGAAUAAUUCCCCAGACGUUCUGGUAAAUCGAAAAGAAGUAUUACGUACACGAGGAUAGUUUCUAAUUUGUAUAUGUAUUAUUUUUAGAUUAGCUUCUUCUUAGCCGAUUUAUAUAGAUAUCGUUCAUCAUAUUUUCAUAACUUUUUUCUUCUAAUGGAUUUUUAUAAAAACCAGAUUCUUGCUUUCAAAAAUGAUAGAUCCUUUUAUCGACUAUUUUAAUGGGCUCUUUUAGGAAGUAUCAAUCAAACUAAUGAUAUAAACAAGUUCUCGAGAAGAUAUUUUCGUCUGAGAUAAACACAUUAUUCUGAAAAUGUGUUCAGAAUAUUUUGACAAUUCUUAUACAUUAGGUAUCGUAAUAUUGUAGUAAUAUUCGGAAGACAUCUGAGAAUAUUGUGUAAAUUCCCGAAACGCGCACAUUUCGAUGCUGCAAUCUCAAAAGCUUGAAAAAUAUUCCGAGAAAUUUCUGCCGGAUUUAAAUACACGUACAAAUUUAAAUUCGACUUAUCCCUUGCUAGUUAUAGAAACGCUCUUAGAAAAUUGAUAAUGUAACGUUUUACGUUUUUUUCUCGGAAUAUAUAUUUGCAGAAUAUCUUCUCGCCUCGCACUGACAGUUCGAUAUUAACAAUGUGAAAAGUCCUCGUGUUCAUGCUUUGAAAACUCACUGACACUUUCUAAUUAGCGACGGAAUAUAUCGCGUAUAUAUUUAAUAUACAUAUUACACAUCGUAAUUACGCCUGGGUGCCUCGUCUUUUCUCUCUUUCCUGUUGUCUAUCUCCUCAUAUAAAUACUUAGCGAUUAUUGUUUUUUUUUUUCAUUUAUGGGAUCCUUAUGUUUAAUUACUAUCUCGUUUUUCUAUCGGCGUUUAACAAUCGCACACGCCGCACGAGAACCACACUUCACAAUAACAACAGGUGUAUUCAAAAAUAAUUGCACUCCACGCGGCAAACUAUUUCUUAUCAACCUAGCGCAACAAUAGCUAUACGGUAAUCAUAAAUUGAUCGUAAAAUUACAUAACUACAUAAUUCGCGGCCGUGACGAAUGGCGCGAAAUAAUCCGUCUCUUUCUCUUUCUCGGUAUAUAAAUAAAUCUUCUAAAUUACAUUUCCCGUGUGUGCGCAAAAAUCCAUGUGCAUAAUAUACAGUGGUACGUAUAAAAGUCUCGUCUCUUCGACGGAAGCUCUUCAAGUUGCAGAAUGCAAGGAAUAGGUUGAUUAUAUCUUGCGAGGUUCUCGUACGGCAUUUCGAGCACGCCAAAUUUGAAGAUAUCCAACGAUACGCAAAAUGUCGCGUAAAUAAAUCCAAUCAUAUCUUCAAACUAUAAAAAGAGAGCUUGAUUCGAUUAUUUCGCAAUAUUAAAAAAAAAAA